UACAGAGGUCCCAAGCGUUGUUCGGAUUCACUGGGCGUAAAGGGUGCGUAGGUGGUCAGGUAAGUCUGAUGUGAAAGCCCCGGGCUCAACCUGGGAAUUGCAUUUGAGACUGCGUAGCUAGGGUGCGGAAGAGGGAAGCGGAAUUUCCGGUGUAGCGGUGAAAUGCGUAGAUAUCGGAAGGAACACCAGUGGCGAAAGCGGCUUCCUGGUCCAGCACCGACGUCAGGCACGAAAGCGUGGGGAGCAAACAGG
rnacentral:rRNA from 1 species